UGUACCUGCGGCUGAGAGGCCCAGACCAGGUGUGCACAGGGACCGCCCAAGGGGAGGGGGAAGGUUGUUCCUCAGAGAGCACAGCAGGUCCCCACUGAGCCCAGGUUUCCAGGCCCAGACGGCCACAUCCCAGGGGCCUGCACGAGGCAGCUGGGUUCACAGAGCCAGUCAAGUGGCCCAAAGGGGAGAGUGGGGAGCUGGCCCGGGUUCUACUAAACCCCUCUCUCCCUCCCUGGGUGACUGCACAGGUUGGUGAGGAAUUCUGCAGAACAUGUGUCUCUGAGGACAAAAGGAAAGGAGAGGCUGGCUGGUGGAGGGACCAGCGAGGCCAGGGGGAAGGUCACAGCGUCGCCAGCUGCAAACACGCCCGGGACAUUGGUCUGCAUCAUCUGUGGGGAGGGGACCGGGACUCGUAGAAUUAGUGAGGGGGCACAACAAAGCUUACUCAACCCUGAAGCGACCCUUUCUCCAGGAAUCCAUGUGGAGGUGAGAACUCAGUGCUGGAGCCUUGCUGACCUUGAGGGAGUGGCCCCCAUAGAGGACUGCGUCAUCCCUG